UACGUAGGGUGCAAGCGUUGUCCGGAAUUAUUGGGCGUAAAGAGCUCGUAGGCGGUUUGUCGCGUCUGCUGUGAAAACUCGGGGCUUAACCUCCGGGCCUGCAGUGGGUACGGGCAGACUAGAGUGCGGUAGGGGAGACUGGAAUUCCUGGUGUAGCGGUGAAAUGCGCAGAUAUCAGGAGGAACACCGGUGCGAAGGCGGUCUCUGGGCAUGUCCUGACGCUGAGGAGCGAAAGUGUGGGGAGCGAACAGGAAUUAGAAACCCGUGGGU
rnacentral:rRNA from 1 species